GUUAGGAAUACGGCAACAUAACGUGACUUGAAGCAGUUGGCACCGCACAACAGUCCCAGUGUCCUUUUAUUUUAUUUUACUAUUUUUUGGCUUCUUGAAGGCACUACAAAACAUGUGAAGUGAGCUCUUGUGUCACAAAUGAUUUUUAUUGGGCUACUUAUAGUCACUUUUUUUCAUCGAUAUUCUUUUGUCACUUAAUGCUAACGAGUAAAUGGUAAUUCUAGUUUAUUGCUUCCGCUGAUACAACAGUUAGAACAGUUACACAGCUAGCGAGCGCAUGUUGAGCGAUGACGCGCCCACUUUCACCUGCAACAAAAAGCGGUCUAAUCGGCAAGCAAAGUACUCAUAUGAGGAAAUCGUCUAAUUGACCAGCUAAUUUCUGCAAAUGAGAGUGUUGUUGUGCGUGCCGGCUUCGAGGUUCAGGCGCUUUAUUAAAUUAAAGUGGUGGCGACAGACGACAGGCGGCACUUCUACCGCGCGCCUUGCAAAGUAUGAACUUUUGCUUAUCUUAUUGAAAAUUGUUUAAUAAAACUUUAAUUAAUUUUAUUUUAUAAUUUUAAUUUCGUAUGAAGUAAGUAAUAUUAAUUAUAGCAAUGCUUUGCAUUUGAAAACUUCUAACACUCCCACGCUUGACUAGUCGUUUGUAUGCGCUCAUCCGUUGGCGACCUUUAAACUGAGCGACUGCCUUCAUUUGCCUUGUCUUUGCGGUAACUUCUGCUCGAGCGCUCGAAUGUAGCACUAGAUGGCUAGUUGUGGCGCGAUUUGCUUGUACAAACGGUAGUGUGUGUGUAUGUGUAUAUAUGCGAUAUAUAAAGUGCUAUGUAGUUAAUGGAAUUUUGGCUGCCGCAGCUCAUUCAUCAAAACACAAGCAAGAAAAAAGUGCCAUUUGUGCUAAGUAAAGGCGCUGAGGCGGGGUCAACGGCAGACGCAGGGCUAAUUCAAUGUUUAAUUUAUAGGUUUUCAUUGAUUUCACUUGUCUUCUUUAACUAAUUUAUAUAUAUGUAUGUACAUAUGUAUAUGUAGUAAGAUUGUAUCAUAAUCGCACUGGCAACUAGACUCUUUUUGGGCCACGCUUUUUGUGUGUUUGUGGCAUGUUAGAUAGUAUCAGGCAACAUAAUAAGCAAAUGCUUAACUUAUAAAUUUGUUUGUUGGUGACUUCAAGAUGUUAAAAAUUAAUUAAUUAUAAUUAAUUAGAGUUUUGUUACUGCAACAAAUAUUUUUUUUCGUAACUGGAUUUCGAACCUGCGACCAAUUGUUAUUUGGUCAAGCGCACACUCACUUAUGUGUCAUAUACAUACAUACAUACAUACAUACAUACAAACUUAAUGUUCUAAUAAAUAUCUUCCUCUAUUAGAUUUGUUUACUUUGCGAACAGCGACUCUUGGCGCACUGCCCAGGUGGAAUAACAGAAUAAAUUUAAAAAUUAGAGCUUAAUUAGAAAAACAACUAAAAUUAUAUAUUUAUUUAUUAAAACAAAAAUUUAAUUAUUGUUGUUGUUGUACAAGAGUAAAUAAAUUAAUUAGAAAUACGAAAAUUAAAUAUUAAAAAAAAGAAAUUUAAAAUAUAAUUACGAUGUGUUGUUGUUGUUGUGAUAUUGAAGUAACGAAAUGCAGAUAUUUGUUGUUGUUUUUACAGUAGUUGUACAAGAGUAAACUAAUUAAUUAGAAAUACGAAAAUACUUUUUCGACUACCAAUAUAAUUACGAUGUGUUGUUGUUGUUGUAAUAUAGUGAUUAGCAGAUGUUUGUGCCUACCGGUCCAGCUAGCAUACCCUAUUGCUUCUUAACAAUACGGAAAGUUCCCAAAAUAUGUAUUAGUAGGGACCACUACAAGCCACUCUGAAUCAUUGAGAGGAGAACUGACGUGCCAUACAUCAGCAAAAGGCUUAAAGAUGUUAGUCAACAUAUGCCAUAAAAAACAUAUGGCAAAUAAAUGUGCGCCUAAAAAGCUGCUACGUUCAGUAUAAAAGCGGAAAUUUAUGUGUGUGUGAAUAUAUUCACAAAAUAAUACGUAUGUACGCAUACGUCUAGAACGAAGAGAAACCAAGAAGCAAUUUCACUAUUUUAUGUAAUUUUUAAUGUAUGUAAAGUUCGAAUAACAUUCAUCCUAAUACUAUAAUAAAGAAAAUUAUGUUAAUGAAAGCGGUUGUUAUAACA